rnacentral:rRNA from 1 species
GUGGAUAACCUGCCGUAUGCGGCUUGAUAACAGUUGGAAACAGCUGCUAAUACCGCAUAAGCGCACAGUACCGCAUGGUACGGUGUGAAAAGAUUUAUCGGCAUACGAUGGAUCCGCGUCCGAUUAGCCAGUUGGCGGGGUAACGGCCCACCAAAGCGACGAUCGGUAGCCGGCCUGAGAGGGCGGACGGCCACAUUGGGACUGAGACACGGCCCAAACUCCUACGGGAGGCAGCAGUGGGGAAUAUUGCACAAUGGGGGAAACCCUGAUGCAGCGACGCCGCGUGAGUGAAGAAGUAUCUCGGUAUGUAAAGCUCUAUUUUUAGGGAAGAAAAUGACGGUACCUGACUAAGAAGCCCCGGCUAACUACGUGCCAGCAGCCGCGGUAAUACGUAGGGGGCAAGCGUUAUCCGGAUUUACUGGGUGUAAAGGGAGCGUAGACGGCGCUGCAAGUCCGGAGUGAAAGCCCAUGGCUUAACCAUGGUACUGCUCUGGAAACUGUGGAGCUUAAGUGCGGGAGGGGCAGGCGGAAUUCCUAGUGUAGCGGUGAAAUGCGUAGAUAUUAGGAGGAACACCGGCGGCGAAGGCGGCCUGCUGGACCGUAACUGACGUUGAGGCUCGAAAGCGUGGGGAGCAAACAGGAUUAGAUACCCUGGUAGUCCACGCCGUANACGAUGAUUACCAGGUGUCGCGGUA